GAUGAACGCUGGCGGCGUGCCUAAUACAUGCAAGUAGAACGCUGAAGGAGGAGCUUGCUCUUCUGGAUGAGUUGCGAACGGGUGAGUAACGCGUAGGUAACCUGCCUGGUAGCGGGGGAUAACUAUUGGAAACGAUAGCCAAUACCGCAUGACAACAGUUAUUGCAUGAUAACUGUUUAAAAGGGGCAACUGCUCCACUACCAGAUGGACCUGCGUUGUAUUAGCUAGUUGGUGAGGUAACGGCUCAUCAAGGCGACGAUACAUAGCCGACCUGAGAGGGUGAUCGGCCACACUGGGACUGAGACACGGCCCAGACUCCUACGGGAGGCAGCAGUAGGGCAUCUUCGGCAAUGGACGGAAGUCUGACCGAGCAACGCCGCGUGAGUGAAGAAGGUUUUCGGAUCGUAAAGCUCUGUUGUAAGAGAAGAACGAGUGUGAGAGUGGAAAGUUCACACUGUGACGGUAUCUUACCAGAAAGGGACGGCUAACUACGUG
rnacentral:rRNA from 1 species